ACCUGGCUGGCUCAGUUGGUGGAGCAUGAGACUCUUGAUCUUGGGGUUGUGGGUUCAAACCCCGCGUUGGGUA
rnacentral:tRNA from 1 species